GGGGAUUUAGCUCAGCGGCAUAAGCGCCUGCCUUGUAAGCAGGCAAUCGGGAGUUCGAUCCCUG
rfam:Cavia porcellus supercont2_3 genomic scaffold, whole genome shotgun sequence.